CUCCACUUUAACCACCCCGCUCCUAUACGAUGAGUGACGUCCCCAUCAAUCUCUCCGUUCCCCUAAAUCACCGACCCAGGAUAUCUGACACUGUCCCUCUUGGCAAUGACUUGAGAUCCAAUCAUCAUGUCCCUGCGUACUUUGCUCGGCUCGGCGUUAAACUUGCACUCUAGGUAUUCUGUCUUAGAUCUGCUUAUUUUGAAACCCUUAGAC
rnacentral:lncRNA from 1 species